rnacentral:rRNA from 1 species
ACUCCUACGGGAGGCAGUGAGGAAUAUUGGUCAAUGGGCGCAAGCCUGAACCAGCCAUCCCGCGUGAAGGAUGAAGGCCUUAUGGGUUGUAAACUUCUUUUGUACCUGAAGAAACCCUUCUACGUGUAGGAGGUUGCCGGUAAGGUACGAAUAAGCAUCGGCUAACUCCGUGCCAGCAGCCGCGGUAAUACGGAGGAUGCAAGCGUUAUCCGGAUUUAUUGGGUUUAAAGGGUGCGCAGGUGGUUGAAUAAGUCAGUGGUGAAAGUCUGCCGCUUAACGGUAGGAUUGCCAUUGAUACUGUUUAACUUGAGUUUGGAUGAGGUAGGCGGAAUGUGUAGUGUAGCGGUGAAAUGCAUAGAUAUUACACAGAACACCGAUUGCGAAGGCAGCUUACUAAUCCACUACUGACACUGAGGCACGAAAGCGUGGGGAUCAAACAGGAUUAGAUACCCUGGUAGUC